CAGCCGCCACGGUAACACAGAGGGUGCAAGCGUUAAUCGGAAUUACUGGGCGUAAAGCGCGCGUAGGUGGUUUGUUAAGUUGAAUGUGAAAGCCCCGGGCUCAACCUGGGAACUGCAUCCAAAACUGGCAAGCUAGAGUACGGUAGAGGGUGGUGGAAUUUCCUGUGUAGCGGUGAAAUGCGUAGAUAUAGGAAGGAACACCAGUGGCGAAGGCGACCACCUGGACUGAUACUGACACUGAGGUGCGAAAGCGUGGGGAGCAAACAGGAUUAGAUACCCGCGUAGUCCCUGUCUCUUAUAC
rnacentral:rRNA from 1 species